rnacentral:rRNA from 1 species
GUAAGGAAUAUUGGUCAAUGGACGGAAGUCUGAACCAGCCAUGCCGCGUGAAGGAUGAAGGUCCUCUGGAUUGUAAACUUCUUUUAUUUGGGACGAAACGCCUGUUUUCUAACGGGUCUGACGGUACCAGAUGAAUAAGCACCGGCUAACUCCGUGCCAGCAGCCGCGGUAAUACGGAGGGUGCAAGCGUUAUCCGGAUUCACUGGGUUUAAAGGGUGCGUAGGCGGGCAUGUAAGUCAGUGGUGAAAUCUCAGAGCUUAACUCUGAAACUGCCAUUGAUACUAUGUGUCUUGAAUUUUCUGGAGGUUAGCGGAAUAUGUCAUGUAGCGGUGAAAUGCUUAGAUAUGACAUAGAACACCGAUUGCGAAGGCAGCUGACUACGGAUGAAUUGACGCUGAGGCACGAAAGCGUGGGGAUCAAACAGG